rnacentral:rRNA from 1 species
AACGAACGCUGGUGGAGUGCCUUAUACAUGCAAGUCGUGCGGGAUUAGAAGCUUGCUUCUAUGAGAGCGGCGAACGGGUGAGUAACAAGUGAGUAACCUGCCCUAUAGUUGGGGAUAGCCCUCCUAACGGAGGAUUAAUACCGAAUAUCGUUUGGAAUCGCAUGAUUCCGUAACAAAAGCCUUCGGGCGCUAUAGGAUGGACUCGCUCAAGAUUAGCUAGUUGGUGAGGUAAUGGCUCACCAAGGCAACGACCUUUAGCCGGCCUGAGAGGGUGAUCGGCCACAUUGGGACUGAGAUACGGCCCAGACUCCUACGGGAGGCAGCAGUAGGGAAUAUUGCACAAUGGACGCAAGUCUGAUGCAGCAACUCCACGUGUGGGAUGACGCAUUUAGGUGUGUAAACCACUGUCAACAGGGAAUAAAAGGCAUAUGCCAAUUGAAGGUACCUGUAAAGGAAGCACCGGCUAACUUCGUGCCAGCAGCCGCGGUAAAG